AGGCCUGACACCCAAUUCAGUGUGCAUCACCUCCCCAGAUGAGCGACCCCCUGCCACCAUCAGGUCAUUGAAGGGUCACAUUUAAGGGAUUAGUAGAGGUCACACUAAAGAACCCAGGCUUACUCAGCAACUGCACCAUGAUGGGGGCUAAGUGUGGACAGACCCAAGUCUCCACAAAAAGAUGGAUCCUCUGAGCUUUCAGCACUUCAUUCGCCUUCCUGAGGUGAAGCACCCACAGCAAAAAGGCCCUUUGAGGGCCUUCCUGAAAUAAUGGAGCUUCAGGGGAAGGUUUAAGAUAAAUAUGCCUAAAGGUUUAUUUUCAUACACCUAUUUCAGAUCCCCGACUCCAGGGCCCAGGACUAACCUUCUACCAGCAUAACAUAAGCAAUCUUUUUCCACCCUCUCCAACUCAGUAUAGGAAGCCAUGGAGGAAGCUUGUUCCAGGGAUCUAGAGAAUGAAUGACCCAGGAGAAGCUGCCCCAAGGGAUGACAAAACCUCAUAAGCAACACCUGUCUGCAACUUCUCACAGUCUCUACGGUGGCCAGCUGACUGCCAUUUUGCCAAGAAGUUGACACAAUUUGCAAAGCAGUAAUUGACAUCUCCUGGAGAGGUACAUAGCCCUUAAGGUAAAGAGGCUUCAGUUAGCUGGCCCUGUAAACUCAGCUCAAGUGUUUCAAGUAAACAGACUAAUUACAACAGUACUCAAAAGACCAGCAUGUUUGCUCUGGGAGUGAAGCAAGCAUUGUUUUCUCAAAGCUACUGCAGGACCUUGGAGGCCUUUAGCUCGGCAGCUACUAUAGUACGAAGUAUCAGAAAUUGCAAAAUAAGUUUUAAAGAAAUGAUUUGUAUAGUAUGUAUCCUUUUCUAAUCAUUAAGUCAUGUCAGACUCUCUGUGACCCCAUGGACUAUAGCCCUCAGGGCUCCUCUGUCCAUGGGAUUCUCCAGUCAAUACUAGAGUGGUUGCCAUGCCCUUCUCCAGGAGAUCUUCCCAACCCAGGGGUCGAACCCAGGUCUCCUGUGUCUUCUGCAUUGGUAGGUGGGUUCUUUACCACUGUGCCACCUGAGAAGCCCUUAUCUUUUUACCCUGGCCCGUUUUAAUUGCAUAUCAUUGUAUCUGGAACAAAAAU